CCCCAAACCCCGGCAUUGACCCUUUCACGUCCAUGUUUGUUGGACUAUCGACGACCCCUGGCACGCAGAUUGCACCAUGGGGAGAUCCCCGACACUUACGUGGAGAAAGGCUGCUGAUGGUAAAGGGACUGGUAAGGAGAAAGAAUGCAAGUCCCCAAGUUUGCUGAAGGCACGUGGGAUCUCAGCUCCCCACUGGGA